GUCCAUAGUAGUCAGUUCUCU
rnacentral:miRNA from 1 species